rnacentral:lncRNA from 1 species
UGUGGCCAAAAGAGAUUAACAUUUGAGUCAGUGUGCUAAGGAAGGCAGAUCCACCCUUAAUCUUGCGGGCACAAUCUAAUCCGCUGCCAGUGAAUAUGAAGCAGGCAGAAAAACGUGAAAAGGAGAGACUGGCCUAGGCUCCCAGCCUACAUCUUUCUCCCGUGCUGGAUCCUUCCUGCCCUCGAACAUCGGACUCGAAGUUCUUCAGUUUUGGGACUUGGACUGGCUCUCCUUGCUCCUCAGCUUGCAGACAGCCUACUAUGGGACCUUGUGAUCAUAUGGUGUCCGGAAUUUCAAAUAAUACUGAGUUAUGGGAAUUGCCACAGUUGAGAUGAAAUGAAGCCUGGUUUCCCAUUCAAAAGGAAAACCAGAGAGCAGAGGAAUUCAUGCAAUUUUUACCUCCUUCAAAUUUAGCUAAUAAUGAUUUUUUUAAACUAAUGGAUUGUUGAUGAUAAAGAGA